UACGGGGGGGGCAAGCGUUGUUCGGAAUUACUGGGCGUAAAGGGCUCGUAGGCGGCCAACUAAGUCAGACGUGAAAUCCCUCGGCUUAACCGGGGAACUGCGCUUGAUACUGUCGAGCUAGAGUGUGGAAGGGGCGAUUGGAAUUCCGUGUGUAGCGGUGAAAUGCGUAGAUAUACGGAGGAACACCAGAGGCGAAGGCGGAUCGCUGGGCCAACACUGACGCUGAGACGCGAAAGCUAGGGUAGCAAACGGG
rnacentral:rRNA from 1 species